rnacentral:rRNA from 1 species
CCGACGGUGAGAGAUGAAAGCCAGGGGAGCGAAUGGGAUUAGAUACCCCGGUAGUCCUGGCCGUAAACGAUGCGUGUUAGGUGUUGGUAGGGCUCUGAGCCGUAUCAGUGCCGUAGGGAAACUGUUAAACGCGCCGCCUGGGAAGUACGCUCGCAAGGGUGAAACUUAAAGGAAUUGGCGGGGGAGCACCACAAGGGGUGAAGCCUGCGGUUCAAUUGGACUCAACGCCGGGAAACUUACCGGGGGC